CAGAUAUUCAAAAGAAAAAUUGAGGGAAGAAAUUGCCGCAAUCCAUCCCCUCUUCAAGAGAGAAACAAAGAGAGUGAGGGAGAACACCGUAUUCACCUUGUCUCUCUUGACUCUCCGAAACCCUAACCAAAGUUAACAUGGAUCGAUGGAGCUUCUUCUCGUUGAGGCCUUUCCAAUCCCAUAGUUUCUGGCCUUUUCAUGAACCAUUAAGAAGACUGGGGCGCUAUGUUAACGGUUUAGUGUGUUGUUGAAGCAAUAGAGAGUUGUGGUUCAAAGGCGAUGUGGAUGGUAUUCACAAGGUGUUGGAGUCUGGUGUUAGUGUCAAUUUCAGGGAUAUUGAUUAUCGCACUGUUCUUCAUGUAGGUCGUUGAGUUUUUGCUCCGUAAAGGUGCCAAAGUUGACGCCAAGGAUCGAUGGGGAAGCAUGGGAAGGAGGAGCAGCCUAGGGAUGAUGUUGUUGUUGAAGAUGAAAUUAAUGGUGGGUUUCUAUUGGAUCUUCAUAUUUGGAUAUAGUUUAUGAUCUUGAUUCAGGUUCUGACUCUGACGCAGCUGUUGGCUUGAAGUGAAAAAGGCUUGAGAUCCCACAAGAUGUCUCACAAGAUUACACUAUUUUAGUUGUCCUAGGAUGAGAAUUGAACUUGGAACUUUUACUUGCUUGAUGCAUUGUUUGCUUUUUAAAGGAUAGGAAUUCGGUCCCCCAAAAAUUUGAACCAAACAAUAAUUGAGAGAGCUAUGAAGGGAGAUGAGAUGGAACGCAUGAAGGCUCAUGAUCUGGGUCCGAGCAGUAUAUAUGGAAUUUGGAGGAUUGAUAGCACAGACAACAGUUUCUCAACGCAGUCCUUUCGGAUAAAAUAUGCUAGGCAGGACAGUCAUUUAUGUAUGAUGAUCUCAUUCAACUUAUCCCUUAGUAGAUUUGAGGUAAUGAUUUUUCUCUCAUUUCUUCUCUUUCUAGAGGGUAUGGUCAUAUCAAGGGGAAAGGAAAUGUUAUGGUAUGCCAAUAUUGAUAUUGGGUGCCAAGUUAUCUAUUGGGAACAUUUCCUAGGUCAUACCACACUGUUAACAAGGUUGAAAUCUAAUUUCCCAUAAAUUGUUUAUACAGUCCAUCACAUGUGCACAUGCAGAGACAUAAGCAUGUAGUGAUUCUGACAACACAAGACCCUUAAUGAACCAUUCAGUUACUAAUUAAUUGAUGUGUGGACAUGUAAUGUUUUAACAGGUUUAAUCUGGCCAUAGUGAUUUACGUUUGAGGUUUAAUAGCUGUGGCUACUGUAUUUCUCUUUUCUUUGCUACAUUCAUUAUACUUGCUAACCAGGGUUGAUUGAGUUCCUAUUCACAAUGACA